rnacentral:rRNA from 1 species
UACGAAGGGUGCAAACGUUGCUCGGAAUUAUUGGGCGUAAAGCGCACGUAGGCGGCUUUGCAAGUCCGAUGUGAAAUCCCACGGCUCAACCAUGGAAGUGCAUCGGAAACUGCAGAGCUUGAGUACGAAAGAGGAUCGCGGAAUUCCUGGUGUAGCAGUGAAAUGCGUAGAUAUCAGGAGGAAUACCGAUGGCGAAGGCAGGUCUCUGG